CUUAGCCGCUUAGCGGCGACAGGCACAGUCGUCCUGGCUGGAAACGGCUAGGAUCAUCACCGGGUGAAUUGCUGGGAAGCCCUGAGAGCCUUUGGCGCCACAACGGAGCUGGAAACGGCAGACGUGACGGCGGAAAAAGCUGAAGGAUUGGGCAAUCAGCAGCCAAGCUCCUGUCCCGAAAGGGUGGAGAAGGUUCAACGACUAGGGCAUACCGCCUACGGCGAGUGCUAUGGCGAUGAAGCCCGUAGGGUGAAGAGGAUUUCCAUCGUCCUCGCUCAUCCGAAGCGCCCGGCCCCUAACAGGUGAAGCUGAGGGUGAAGAUGUAGUCUUGUCCCGCACCGAAAGGGCGGG
rnacentral:ncRNA from 1 species